AUACCAGAUUUGGGGGACGAGCUCAUCUUCCAGGACCGGCAGAAAUACGUCGAGGAAGAUUUCACUACUUGUUCCACCCCAUUGGAUCGUGAUGUCAAGCAGUGCGUCGUGAAAAUUCUCUUGUCCAAAAGAAAAAGAAAGAGAAAUUAUGUAACUCCAAAUUUGCUUUAAUCCUUAUGCAAUGGAGUUGGUACUUAAGAGAAUUCCUGCAAAGGACGAGACCCUUGUUGACAUGUUUCAUGGGGGCUAAUGCUUGAUGUUUGUAUAAGCCAUG
rnacentral:lncRNA from 1 species